CCCAGGUUAAAGGGUGUAGUUAUAUACAUGGGUUAACAGCUUGUGUAUGAUGAACCUGAUAGUACCGUGAGGCUUCGGCUGAGCGGAUAGUGUUCCUAAUCAGACUUCCAAGAAAAUCCUCUAAGCUUCAGACAUGUGGUGCCCGUACCACAAACCGACACAGGUAGUCGAGGAGAGAAUCCUAAGGUGCUCGAGUGAUCCGUGGCUAAGGAACUAGGCAAAUUGAACCUGUAACUUCGGGAUAAAGGUUCCCCUGUUUAUCAAUGGGGGCGCAGAGAAAUGGCCCUGGCGACUGUUUAACAAAAACACAAGGCUUUGCGAAAUUGAAAGAUGAAGUAUAAGGCCUGACACCUGCCCGGUGCCGGAAGGUUAAGAGGGGGAGUCAUUCUCAGCAAUGGGAAGAAGCUCUGAAUCGAAGCCCCGGUAAACGGCGGCCGUAACCAUAACGGUCCUAAGGUAGCGAAAUUCCUUGUCGGGUAAGUUCCGACCUGCACGAAUGGUGUAACGAUCUGGGCACUGUCUCAGCCACGAGCUCGGUGAAAUUGUAGUUCCGGUGAAGAUGCCGGAUACCCGCAACGGGACGGAAAGACCCCGUGAACCUUUACUAUAGCUUAACAUUGAUUUUGGGUAAGUGAUGUGUAGGAUAGGUCGGAGACUGUGAACCGGUUUCGCCAGGAAUCGGGGAGUCAACGUUGAAAUACGACCCUUCAUUUACCUGGAAUCUAAUCCGUCAACCGACGGAGACAUUGUUUGGUGGGUAGUUUGACUGGGGUGGUCGCCUCCAAAAGAGUAACGGAGGCUCCUCAAGGUGCCCUCAGCACGAUUGGUAACCGUGCGGAGAGUGUAAUGGCACAAGGGCGCUUGACUGUGAGACUGACAAGUCGAUCAGGUACGAAAGUAGAGCAUAGUGAUCCGGUGGUUCCGUAUGGAAGGGCCAUCGCUCAAAGGAUAAAAGGUACUCCGGGGAUAACAGGCUGAUCGCCGCCAAGAGCUCAUAUCGACGCGGCGGUUUGGCACCUCGAUGUCGGCUCGUCACAUCCUGGGGCUGAAGAAGGUCCCAGGGUUCGGCUGUUCGCCGAUUAAAGUGGCACGCGAGCUGGGUUCAGAACGUCGUGAGACAGUUCGGUCUCUAUCUGUUGUGGGCGCUGGAGAUUUGAGAGAAACUGAUACUAGUACGAGAGGACCGUGUUGGACAGACCGCUAGUGUACCUGUUGUGGCGCCAGCUGCAUCGCAGGGUAGCUAUGUUUGGAACAGAUAAGCACUGAAAGCAUCUAAGUGCGAAGCUCGUCUCAAGAUGAGAUCUCCCUUAAGGGUCGUUGUAGACUACGACGUUGAUAGGCUGCAGGUGUAAAGGUGGCAACAUCAAAGCUGAGCAGUACUAAUUACCC
rnacentral:rRNA from 1 species